rnacentral:rRNA from 1 species
CUCCCGGAUGUUAGCGGCGGACGGGUGAGUAACACGUGGGUAACCUGCCUGUAAGACUGGGAUAACUCCGGGAAACCGGAGCUAAUACCGGAUAGUUCCUUGAACCGCAUGGUUCAAGGAUGAAAGACGGUUUCGGCUGUCACUUACAGAUGGACCCGCGGCGCAUUAGCUAGUUGGUGAGGUAACGGCUCACCAAGGCGACGAUGCGUAGCCGACCUGAGAGGGUGAUCGGCCACACUGGGACUGAGACACGGCCCAGACUCCUACGGGAGGCAGCAGUAGGGAAUCUUCCGCAAUGGACGAAAGUCUGACGGAGCAACGCCGCGUGAGUGAUGAAGGUUUUCGGAUCGUAAAGCUCUGUUGUUAGGGAAGAACAAGUGCAAGAGUAACUGCUUGCACCUUGACGGUACCUAACCAGAAAGCCACGGCUAACUACGUGCCAGCAGCCGCGGUAAUACGUAGGUGGCAAGCGUUGUCCGGAAUUAUUGGGCGUAAAGGGCUCGCAGGCGGUUUCUUAAGUCUGAUGUGAAAGCCCCCGGCUCAACCGGGGAGGGUCAUUGGAAACUGGGAAACUUGAGUGCAGAAGAGGAGAGUGGAAUUCCACGUGUAGCGGUGAAAUGCGUAGAGAUGUGGAGGAACACCAGUGGCGAAGGCGACUCUCUGGUCUGUAACUGACGCUGAGGAGCGAAAGCGUGGGGAGCGAACAGGAUUAGAUACCCUGGUAGUCCACGCCGUAAACGAUGAGUGCUAAGUGUUAGGGGGUUUCCGCCCCUUACUGCUGCAGCUAACGCAUUAAGCACUCCGCC